GUGCUCACUUCAGUUUCACACAUACUAAAAUUAGAAUGCCACAGGGAAAAUUAUCAUGGCCUUUGCUCAAGGAUGGCAUGCAAAUUCAUGAAGCAUUCCAUAUUUUU
ensembl:snRNA U6 U6 spliceosomal RNA